CCUACGGGGCGCAGCAGUCGAGAAUCAUUCACAAUGGGGGAAACCCUGAUGGUGCGACGCCGCGUGGGGGAAUGAAGGUCUUCGGAUUGUAAACCCCUGUCAUGUGGGAGCAAAUUAAAAAGAUAGUACCACAAGAGGAAGAGACGGCUAACUCUGUGCCAGCAGCCGCGGUAAUACAGAGGUCUCAAGCGUUGUUCGGAAUCACUGGGCGUAAGGCGUGCGUAGGCUGUUUCGUAAGUCGUGUGUGAAAGGCGCGGGCUCAACCGGCGGACGGCACAUGAUACUGCGAGACUAGAGUAAUGGAGGGGGAACCGGAAUUCUCGGUGUAGCAGUGAAAUGCGUAGAUAUCGAGAGGAACACUCGUGGCGAAGGCGGGUUCCUGGACAUUAACUGACGCUGAGGCACGAAGGCCAGGGGAGCGAAAGGGAUUAGAUACCCCUGUAGUC
rnacentral:rRNA from 1 species